rnacentral:rRNA from 1 species
UACGGAGGAUGCAAGCGUUAUCCGGAUUCAUUGGGUUUAAAGGGUGCGUAGGCGGACUAUUAAGUCAGUGGUGAAAGCCUGCAGCUUAACUGCGGAACUGCCAUUGAUACUGAUAGUCUUGAGUUUGGUUAAGGUAGGCGGAAUGUGUAAUGUAGCGGUGAAAUGCUUAGAUAUUACACAGAACACCAAUUGCGUAGGCAGCUUACUAAGCCGACACUGACGCUGAGGCACGAAAGCGUGGGGAGUCGAACAGGAUUA